rnacentral:tRNA from 1 species
GGGCGAGUAGUUCAGCCCGGUAGAAUACCCCCUUGGCAUGGGGGAGGCCGUGGGUGAAGCUUUUCUUUGCAAAAGAAAAGCUCCAGGACCAAAAGAAAGCAGUUUCCUGCUUCGCAGGAUUCUACUUUGAAUUUUGGCUAGGAUGAAAGGCUUCCACGACUUCAAAUCCCACCUCGUCCA